CGCGUAGGCGGAUGAUCAAGUCAGGGGUGAAAUCUUUCGGCUCAACCGGAAAAUAGCCUUUGAUACUGGUUGUCUCGAGGGAGGUAGGGGCAUGUGGAACUUCCGGUGGAGCGGUGAAAUGCGUUGAUAUCGGAAGGAACGCCGGUGGCGAAAGCGACGUGCUGGACCUCUUCUGACGCUGAGGCGCGAAAGCUAGGGUAGCGAACGGGAUUAGAUACCCCGGUAGUCCUAGCCCUAAACGAUGGGUACUAGGUAGUGGACUUAACAUGGGUUCACUGCCGAAGCAAAAGUGUUAAGUACCCCGCCUGGGGAGUAUGGUCGCAAGGCUGAA
rnacentral:rRNA from 1 species